rnacentral:rRNA from 1 species
UACGGAGGGAGCAAGCGUUACUCGGAAUUAUUGGGCGUAAAGGGCGCGUAGGCGAUUUGAAAAGUCUUGUGUGAAAGCCCCGAGCUUAACUCGGGAGGUGCACAAGAAACUGUUGAAUUUGAGUUCCGGAGAGGAAGGCAGAAUUCCCGGUGUAGCGGUGAAAUGCGUAGAUAUCGGGAGGAAUACCAGUGGCGAAGGCGGCCUUCUGGACGGAUACUGACGCUGAGGCGCGAAAGCCAGGGGAGCAAACGGG